rnacentral:lncRNA from 1 species
GAAUCUUUUAGGGGUACUGUCACACCUCUUUUUUCCUACACCCCCGUGAAGGGUGCAUAAAGGGAGUUUUUUCAAACUUGAAAUGACAAUAAAAACAUGAUUCAUUUUAAAAAUUCAGAGUCGCCACUUGGAAUAAUUAAUGUUUUCCAAGUCAUCGGUUUCAAAUCCCGAAUCAAGGAAAGAUUGAAUCUGUUAUACAGUCUGCGAACCAAAAAUCCUGGUAAGGAAUUCUGCUAACCCCGGAGAAGGUGUUAGGAGUUCUAGAGUUCCGUGGUUCUAGCACGGCCGCUUUGAUCAUACUUGGCUUGACUGAAUUGUCUAAUUACUAGUUUUAAAACCUAUGUGCAUUUACCUUUCACCGCUUUUUCAUUAAGAAAACUAUCUUGAAACGGGUCACACGCACGUGUACCCAAACCUAUAAUAAUAAUGCUUUAUUAUUAUUAAGAAAGUUUGCCUGAAGUUGCGCGAACGCACACUCCGGUUUUGUUUUUAGAGAUCGCAAUCAUGUCACGAGAACGUUCCCGCAAUCACAAUGAUAUAUUAAAUGGGCCUAGAGCUACUACGAAUAUUUGUCUUGUUACAUCUAAGUCAUAAAAAAUUAAUAGAAGGCCAUAAAUUAUAGAAGUCAAUCAUCCCGUACACCACUAAGCUAAAUAUUACAACAACUAAUCUUAUAAGCCAACGAUCGCCCAAGCCUACGGCCCAGCUCCAGCUACACUGUAUGACACUCGUGCUGGUUGCCCAGCGCCAAUAGAAGCCACCUUAACCAUGUAAUAUAUUUAGAAAGAAUAGCUUUGUCUGCUCCAGUCAGAACAAAUAAAUAUCAAUAAGUGUCCACACAUGAACAUAGACAUAUUAUCCAGUAAAUUUCUAGGCUAACUGAAAUAUACUUAACAUAAAAAAAUCAAUAUGCUAUUUUUAAACCCUUACUAGAUAUCAGUAAUUGUAUAAACAAAGAAAUAGUCACUGUUUGUAUAACUGGAUAUGAAGGCCCUUCGAACUGAAGUUGGCUGAGAAUAGGCUAAAACACGAAUGACACAACAAUACUUCUUCAUCUUCUCCAAUUGCACAUUAACAUCCUCCUUACUAUUAUCAGUUUCGUACUUCUUCUCAUUAAUCAAACAAUAUCCGUAACAUGAAUGACUAACUUCAAUCAAUUUGCAUUUACUAUACUAGUGGCAUGCUUGAAAGACAUUUCCAGGAGAGAUCAAUCCCCAUUACCUAAUAGUGACUAGGAGAGCAUAACAAAGCUAACAUGUGCAUUAUAAAGAGACAUGGAACAGAAAAGGCAAACAGACUCACUUAAAAGCUUGACUCAAUAACACCAAAUCACUGACAAUAGGAGAACAAUCCUCUUCACAACUAAGCAAUAUCUUUGCAUCAGAAUGUUGGCAGCAUACAUCAACUAGCUUUCAUUUAAAUCAUGCAAUUUUAUAGAACAUCAUAGUAAAAAAGAACAAACAACUUCAUAACCACUGAAUUCAUAAUAAAGCAUAAACUAAAACAUUGACACGCUCAAACUUUGUUACUACAGCUCUAGCCUGCUAUCAAAAUUGUUAUCCAAUUGGAAGUUUUAUAAGUAAAAUAAUACCAUGGUUUAAGGGAGAAACAAACACUAAGAAACAGAAUCACUUAGGUUAAUGUUUCGAUGAAUCUAUGCAGUCGGCUCAUACACAAACUUAACAAAUGGAAAGCUGUCCAAAACUAAAUUGUGGAGACAAUAAUGUCCUUAUGGAUCAAGUUAGAGACUCAGCCGAACUAGCUACUGAAGAUAAAUCUAAUGACAUACUCAGGAAGGGCCUGCCAUUAGACAACAAUAGCUAUGAACAGCUUGAAAGAACAUAAUAAAAACCAAUCAAUUUGUUCACAUUUCAGAUUCAAACUUCAGAAUAUAUUUAGAUGGUGUCCAUGGGAUCGACAAAUACCUGAAACGAAAAGAAAAAGGACGGCAGGGUCAACAGUAAUCAACAAUAGUAACCAGUAGCAGAAUAUUUCCCUAGAAUCAGCUUUGAACCAAGAAUAGUGUGCAGCAAAAAAAAUCUACCAAAAACAUCAAGACAAGCCUUUUAAAUCUCCAAACUCAGACCAUUUCAGCUCCACUUAGGUCAUAGAUCACUCCAGGUAUUGAAACUCAAGAAAUUGCAGAAAUAAUUAUGAAAUAGUGAAUCUCACUAAAAGAAUUUCUAGCUGCCUGUAUUUUCUGGGGUUUUUAUCUCUUCAACCUUGCCUUGAAAGGAAAGAAUGAGAUGCUUUUAUAGGCAAGACAAUAGGGAAACUAUCAGAUUUUAUUUUUUCAAUUCUACCCCUUUUUAAUUUUGUUUUUGGUACUUAAUCCCUCAAAUUUUGACUUAUUUGCCUAGCAAAGCUCUGUUUCAGCUUCUAGGAAGCUUCCCAGGUAGUUAUUUUAGAGAUUUCCUCACCUAAUUACCUAAAUUACCCCCCAAUCCCCAUAUUUUUACUUUAGUCAACUAGAUGACCUUUAGUUCAUGGGUCAAGUUGACCCCAAAAUUCAGCCCCUGACCGGACCAGCUUCUCUUUUCUUUGGGCUUUCAAUUUUAAUAGGAACCCAACCCAAUUCAGUUUUUCAUAAUAAAACCAACCCACAAUUCAAAUAGGCAUGAAUUAUGAACCAAAC